UUUUUGAUCUGGAUCUGUAAUAUCCUCCAUAUGAAGAACUCAGUGUGCGGAAACUCCCUCUACCAAUGAAGAUCAACAAUUUGUCAGUAUGUUAGAGACUUAGAGAGAUUCCUGGACCAUCAAGAAGAUGAAGAAUAUGAGACUCUAUUAAGUGAUUUGUCCCCGGUCAUGAAGUUAAGAAGUGAUGGAACAAGACACCUGUAUUGGAGAAGCAUGAAAAGAUUUAUAUGAACUGAAGCAAAGUGAAGAAAGUAGAACUAGGAGAGCCCCAUACACAACAACUACAACAGAAUGCCACAGAUGCUGAUGAAUUAAAGUUGAAGGUCACACAAAGGACAACAUAAAGGCACAUGGUGGAUGUGAACAGGCUGCAACACAUUACAGAUGAAGAUUGUGUAAGGAUGUCAUCAGACAAAUGUGUAACUGGAAAAGGAGGUGGGGCAGUCCAAGAGUGAGCUUCUGGACAACCCAAAGACACCCCAUUGUGUUUCAUUGGUAUCAGUGCAAUCUCAAGACAUUUGGAGAAACUCAUCCCCUCCUUCUACAGCCCCCCUCUCCACAUAAGCCGGGUGGAUCCCCUGUGGCCGUGGAUUUAUGAGAUUUCACAGACAAGUUAAUCAGGAUGAAAAGGCAGGAAUCAGUUGCAAUUUGCAACGGUGGUGAGAAUAUCCACAUUGAGGAAAUCCCAGAUCAAUCCAAAGUAGCAAAGCAAAAACAGUACCAAAAUUUGAGAAGGAUAAGAUUAGAGCAAAACACUAAAGCAAAAGAUAGAAUUAUUUUUCUUACACGUUUUAUGUACAUGUGCUUUUUUUGUCCCUUCUAACAAACUAUAGUUUAGAGCU